CAAAGAACAGUCUCUUUAGCUGAAAAAGAUUCAGUUCCCAGCUCUUUGAAGUCCAUUUCAUCACAUAUUGUGCCACAGCAUUGGCUUGUGACUCUCUACAGCACUUAGACCCUUAUUGUUGAGUACACGAAGAUGCCUGUGCUGGGCGGGAAAAAAAUCCUUUCUUCUGCUUACGAAAGAAGUAACACUCCAAGCUGCUCCAUGUCCAUCCAGGAAUGCUCUCCACAGCCCCAAUUUUAUCUCAAACUCUGAGAAAAAGACACUGACUUACUUUCAGAAACAGCAAGUGGUAGGUCUUGGUUUGGGACGUGACUACAGAUCAAAGAGCAGCUAUUGCAAGUAUAUAUCCAUGUAUAUCAACUUGGAUAAUGGAUAACCUCACCAAGAGCUCUGGUCAGCAAGCUGCUAUAAGACAAGAUGCAUGAUUACAGCAUAUCUAAAUUACUGAACAAGACAACAGCGAAAAAAGUCUGUUGAGAUCUUCAAUUCAUCAUCACCCACUGACAGAAAAGCAAUUUCCCUGAAGACUGUUCUGUGGAAAAAUUCAGACAGAAUCAGGCUGAAAACAGGCUGUAUCUUGACUUUUAGUGUUGAAGAAUUUAAUUUCACUUUUAGAAUUUUUGUCAUGUAGGAUUUUUAAUUGUGUACCAUUUUAAUCAUGUUGGAAAGGUAUUGAUAUAACUCACCUUGGGGUAUGGAAAAUUCACCAAUUGUGCAAUUUUUAGAAAUAAGGUUGUUAUUGUUUUAUAUGGGUGGCAAUAUAGGCUAUGACAAGACAUAAUUCAGGAAGAUUCCAUACGUUUCCAUAUGGGACCACAUCUCAGUCAUUUUCCCCACCCUACACUAUUUGCACCUGUGCAUGCUGUAGACUACAACUGAAAAUGAAUCUGAUGCAAAAACAA